rnacentral:rRNA from 1 species
AGCGAACGCUGGCGGCAGGCUUAACACAUGCAAGUCGAGCGGGCACUUUCGGGUGUCAGCGGCGGACGGGUGCGUAACGCGUGGGAACGUGCCCUCUGGUUCGGAAUAACUCAGGGAAACUUGAGCUAAUACCGGAUACGCCCUUUUGGGGAAAGGCUUGCUGCCGGAGGAUCGGCCCGCGUCUGAUUAGCUAGUUGGUGAGGUAACGGCUCACCAAGGCGACGAUCAGUAGCUGGUCUGAGAGGAUGAUCAGCCACACUGGGACUGAGACACGGCCCAGACUCCUACGGGAGGCAGCAGUGGGGAAUAUUGGACAAUGGGCGCAAGCCUGAUCCAGCCAUGCCGCGUGAGUGAUGAAGGCCUUAGGGUUGUAAAGCUCUUUUAUCCGGGACGAUAAUGACGGUACCGUAGGAAUAAGCCCCGGCUAACUUCGUG